UGAGGCCGGUGAUGAUUUUGAAAUAUUUUGCCUACAUUGCAUGAUUAUCUUUCUAAGAUAAUGAUUUAUCUCACAUAUCUGAGGCCUUU